CGUAGGCAGCAAGCGUUGUUCGGAAUUACUGGGCGUAAAGAGUGUGUAGGUGGUGUCGUAAGUUUGGUGUGAAAUCUCCCGGCUUAACUGGGAGGGUGCGCCGAAGACUGCGAUGCUUGAGUAUGGGAGAGGAAAGCGGAAUUCCUGGUGUAGCGGUGAAAUGCGUAGAUAUCAGGAGGAACACCUGCGGUGUAGACGGCUUUCUGGACCAUUACUGACACUGAGACACGAAAGCGUGGGUAGCAAACAGGAUUAGAUACCCUGGUAGUCCACGCCCUAAACGAUGCAUACUUGGUGUGAGCCAUUCAGUUGGUUCGUGCCGGAGCUAACGCGUUAAGUAUGCCGCCUGGGGAGUACGGUCGCAAGGCU
rnacentral:rRNA from 1 species